rnacentral:lncRNA from 10 species
CUGCUAUGCUGUGACCACCACUACAGCAGCCCCAUUCUCCUUGCUGUGCUACUCACCUGGGGGUUGCUGAGCCAGCAGGGCCUCCGGAUGGGGUAGACUGAAUAGCAGUACUUUCCCGUCUGAGCAGGCCAGAGCCAAGAGACCCAACCGGGGCAGGAGAGGAGCCUAAAGGGUAAAAGGGCUGGAGAAAAGAGCCACAUAUUGCGAGGCUCCUGCCCCCUCUGGCACUGGGCACCAGUCCAGAGCCCAGAGCGGUCCCCCCGUGAAGAAGGACACAUCCCAGCGCUCUGGAUGUGCUGUGAUCGAGCUAAAUCUAGAGAAAAAUCAAAGAUGGGAUGAAGAAAGGAAUUAAUGAAAGAAUCAGAAAAAAGGGCGGAUGUGCAAUCUUCACCUGUUUAUUCGGUAGAGGGUGCCAUCUUCAGGUAGCCCUUCACGUUGUACAGAAAACAAUGGAGACUUCUCCUCCUGGGGCAGUGGUGUCACCCUUCCUAAGCUACAGAGAUGUUGCUUCAACUUACAGCUCAGAUAACAAGUGCCACUUCCAGGCUAAAGGAAUCCACUCAGCAAACUCCCAGUAUGAAUGUUUCUGCUCUCGGCUGGAGAAACAGAAGAAGCAUUAAUGAAGGAGAGGGAUUCUACAGCCGCACAGUCCAAUAAAACUUUCUGUGGGGAUGGAAAUGAUCCAUUAUCUGUGCUCCCCAAUAUGCCAGUUGCUAGCUCCAAUUAGCUACCAAGCACCUAAAAUGUGGCUAGCGCAGCUGAGAAACAGAGCCUUUCAUUUUAUUUCACUUUAAUUAAAGAGUUCUAGAGCUCUUGCCUCUAGAGCAGUGCUUUUUAGUAAUGAAUGUCAUCACGGUAUUCCA